rnacentral:rRNA from 1 species
UACGUAGGGACCAAGCGUUGUUCGGAUUUACUGGGCGUAAAGGGCUCGUAGGCGGCCAACUAAGUCGGACGUGAAAUCCCUCGGCUCAACCGGGGAACUGCGUCCGAUACUGGAUGGCUCGAGUUCGGGAGAGGGAUGCGGAAUCCCAGGUGUAGCGGUGAAAUGCGUAGAUAUCUGGAGGAACACCGGUGGCGAAGGCGGCAUCCUGGACCGAUACUGACGCUGAGGAGCGAAAGCCAGGGGAGCAAACGGG